CGUAGAGGGGAAAAUGAAAAUGUGUGUUGUCAGUGUCAUGUUGAUCGUGCGAGUAUUAGUAACUUGUUUUUAAGAUUUUUUGUUGUGGUGUUGGAUCAUUGUUUUGAACGACAGUAUCGUGUAUUAUUUUUUAUAUUUGUCUCGAUGAAGGUCGUAUAAAAAAAACUCGUUAGAAGUGAUUAAUGCGUUCGCGAUGACUGAUCCUUUUUAUUCAAAUUUAAUCGUGAGAAAUCUUUAUCGAAAAAACUACCUCGUAGAACUUUUUAAAUGUUCUCCUUUAUACUUGGCAACAUGUUCCACCCACCAAGUGGCCAAUUUUCUAGGAUUAAUCGGUAAAUCUCGUAGCAACGUGCUCCUCUUUUUCGCCGCUGUUCGAUACGAAUUGUUGUGAAUCGCAGCCACUUUGAGAAUCCCAUCGCGAAGACUCCCGAUGGAUAUUCCGGCCAAAUCCAUCACCAAAGCGUAACCCAAUUUUUCUGCAACGAAAGAAAUUAUAUCUUAAACCUUGUGCCGCGUUUCCAUCGUGAUCACAGAAAACGGGCAAAACGAGAGUGGGAGCAGCGUGAUAAGCGGCCUCGUGCAGAGAUAGAAGUCCACCGUGGGAGACAAACGCUCGAAGCUUCGAAUGGCCUAAUAGCUCUUGCUGCGGCCACCAUGCCGCCGUUCUGACGUUCGAUGGCAGAUCUUUGAUCUUCAUACCUUCCCAUUUCCAUAUAACGUUGCACGGAAGCGUGGCAAAGGCUGCCACGAAGAUUUGACGAAGCGCCUCGGGCAUGCCUGAAGCGCGGACCGACGAACCCAUGGAAACGAAGAUGAAACCUGCGCCAACGUUUCGCCAUUAUACUUUGGAAUUAGACGAAAAUGACCUAUUCGGUAUCGCGGAUCGAUCCGUGGGAAAAAGACAAAGUAAUACAUGAUAGUGGGCACGCCCUCGCCGUGGAGAACUCCAAGAAGGCACUCGGGGAAGGCUCCGUCCACCACGGCAACGUCCCAUCGUUUACGAGAAUCGGCUUUGCCCCUUCUCAGCCAGGCUACCGAUAUUUCGUCCCGAA